CUCCUGAGCAGCCAUGCACGUGGCGUUUACUCCCAAUGGGCGAUGGGAUUUUCAUCAGCUUUUAUGUUCAGAAGGCAGGGCACACCUGGAAGCUGUUGUCGAGGGAUGGCCUGAUUGAGCUCGUGAGGCCCUGGGCGUGCGGGUGUGGAAUAUCCUGCUCCAAUCAAAGCCAUGUCACCUGCGUUGUCCAGUGAAACGUCAGCGGACAGGCGCUGCCCGGGCUCCAGGGAGCUCCUCACUGAGGCUCACUCCCUGUGCCUCUGCCAUCAGCACAGGGGGACAUGCCUGGCUGCCUGUGGGACCAGGGAGGACGCGCGGUGCGGGAGCAGAGCCAGCCACACUGCCGCUGCUGCACUGUUCAUCUGAGUGGCGCAAGAACUUGUCAGUGCCUUUAAUCUGAGGGAUGAGUCUUCAGGAGAGUUUGUUGUCAGGAUUUAACACUUACUCUUGGAAAAGCAGUAAUGUGUGCUGGAAAUGAACCGGGCAGACCCUGCUCCCAUCUCCAUCUGCCUCAAUCUCAGUGCCCUCCACUCCCCACCAGCAGCGCCUGUUACCAAGUCACUGCACAACAACCACAAAUGGAGAGUGGAGGAGCAUCACUUUCCACCCCGGGAUCAUGACGAGGGCUCUGUAACUUCAACAAAUGCGCAGAAGACGCCUGGCCUCGAGCUUGUGCAGCACCUCCGGAGCCUGCCUUCCCUUGUCACCCACGGCACCAUGACUUUGGAGGGUCUCAGCUCAGUCCUCCCUCCAGAGGGGCUGUCAGUGCUGGGCAGAAAAUCACCCUUCAACGACCGGGCCCAGCUGCGCUCUGUCAGAGAGCAGAGAAAGCAGGCCUCCGGGAGGUUCUCACUCCACCAAGGAGACGUCUCCACCCAGCGCUCAUCCUGAGCAAGGGCACUGGGAGGAAGAAAUGCAAUUUUAAAACCUGUGCUGCGAAUGAUGACUUCUGCUGCUUCCGUCUCUGGAGAGCUCUGGGCACUUAACAUCCUUCCACCCACAUGCCCGAGUCUGUGCAGAAACCUCACCCACGCGGAGGAGACUGCAUUUCCCAGUAGCAGAUUCAAGUCCUGAACUUCCUGUACCACAAAGUGUUACCCACACUGGUGGGUGCCAGCCUGAGACUCAACUAUCAGGAAAAACAUGAAGAAUUCAGUCCAUGCCCUCAAAUGCACCCAUGUGGCUCCCAAACGGCAAAUCUCAGCAAUGAGAUUCUCAGCUAGGAAAGUCCACACUGAACUCAUGCAGAGGACAAAGUACAUAGGCCUGGGGUUCUUGGCACCUGAGAUCUCUGAGCAGUUUUCUGAAUUUUCCUAUUUCCUGUUGAAGACAUAGGAACACGUGGCACAGAGGCACAGAGACCUGGAAACCAACAGGUGACCUCAGGGAGGUUUGUGAAGCACCCUGAUGAGAAGACAGUUGGGCAGACGUGGCUGGCUAUUCCCCAAGUCCAUUUUCCCUCCUGGGACCAGAGCUGACUCCAUUUCUCAAUCUGCCUUGCAGUGAGCAUAGUCAGUUCCAACGUCGCACGGUGGGACUCUGGACAGGGUCCUCCCUCUCCAUCUUCCCCUCGCUGGGACCCAGCACGGCACAGGAGGGGCGGCCAACACCAUUUAGACAUCAGAACUGUCCAGAGUGUUCUGCCCUCUGUCUUAAGUCACGACCCCGGAUUCCCCAGGCAGCCACACACAGCGGUCUACACCGGGAGAAAGUCGCCGUGAGAACCGUGGCACCGCAGGAGGCUGUGCGUGUUUGCUUUUGUUGAUCUGUUUAACUGCAGCCCGAUUUAUGUUUCUGGAUCCUGGAAUUGAGUUGACACUAUCGGUAGUAUGAAAGUGACAGACACCAGGAUGAAGUCACUCUUGUCAGACCCAGAGGAAACAGGGUCAGGAGGCCUGGGGGAGGGGAGGACGCUGCUGCGUGUCUGAGAUCAGAGCUGUUUCCAAGGACUUUCUGAAGCCCCACAAGAAGGCCCUCUGCGUCCGUCGCGCAUCUCCGGCCUGGCGGGGCUUGCGUGGCUCACACGUACACGCAUUUCUACGGCCAGGGUUAUCUAUCACCAGACAUUCUUGAGGACUGCAGUGAUUCUGAUCAGAUGCUCUCAAAAGACCACUUCCCAGUGACAACACCUCCUUCAAGAAACCGACAGCAUUCUGGCUGUGGGUCCCUGGAACCAGUGAACUGUGUCAGAGCAGCUCAGGCGAACUUCUCCCCUGUGCCAAUGAAAGCUUUUUCUUACCCUACCUCACUGGAGGCACCUGUUACUUGCCACAGUGCAUUUGGGAUUCUCAUCCUCUUUUUCUAUCCCCAAAUAAAUUC
ensembl:lncRNA LINC01257 long intergenic non-protein coding RNA 1257